UACGUAGGGUGCGAGCGUUGCCCGGAUUUAUUGGGCGUAAAGGGCGCGUAGGCGGCCACGCACGUCCGUUGUGAAAUCGCCCGGCUCAACUGGGCGGGGUCAGCGGAUACGGUGUGGCUAGAGCAAGCUAGGGGGCAAUGGAAUUCCCGGUGUAGUGGUGGAAUGCGUAGAUAUCGGGAGGAACACCGGUGGCGAAGGCGGCGUUCUGGACUGCAACUGACACUGAGGAACGAAAGCCAGGGUAGCAAACGGG
rnacentral:rRNA from 1 species